CCCUUUCUUCUGCGACAACCCACCUGCCUUUUUCUUGCCUGUGGGAUCAUUUCCUUCAGAUCCAGCUUCAUCACCAAUGUAGAAGACUGCCAUGAUAAGAAGCCUAACCAUACUAUCAGUCCAUUCUUUGCCAUGGAGAUACCUUUUUUUUUCCAUCAGCGGUGCUGUCAUCUCCAGUGAAACCAGGCUCAUCUUCGUCACUAGCUGUUGAUUGUGGCUUUUGUCUUGUAGUUGAGGAUGCAUAUGGGUAGGCAUGUUUCAUAGUUUGUUGUGGGUGAUGAUCAGACUCACGGUGAGCAUAAGCUACCAUUUGUGGGUGAUGCAAGUUGGGUGAAUUUUGUGGGUUUUGAGUGUUCUGUUGUUGUAGUGACAUUUCUAGUCCUAACAUUCCUGAUCCCAUGUCUGAAAAUAUCCCACCAGGCAAACCAUUGGGUUCCAUCAACCCAAAAGCCUUUUUAUUCAC
rnacentral:misc_RNA from 1 species